rnacentral:lncRNA from 1 species
UGGGUGGUGUGAUUCUGGCAAGGUUUUCAAACCACAUUUCGAGGGGUUUGGUGUUAAUUCGAGGCUGGACUCUUACGAAUCCGGGGUGAGAGAGGCUAGGGGGACCUAGGAUGUUAUUUUGAGGCGGCGAAGCAGUGAUGGAUUCAAAUAUAUAUUCGACGAGUUUGGUCGACAUUUGAGGAACACCAGUUGCAGAAAUGGAAAGAGGAGGCCUGGGAGACGAAGUGGUGUAAUUUUGGGGUUAUUCACCGCCGACGAAGGCGAUUUUCGGCAGGCAGCGGGCGGACGGAUGAGUGGUGGUGUUACGUCAGCGCAAUUAGGGUUAGGGAGAGAUAGGGUACAAGG